AUUCCCCCCAUCAAUCCAACCCUGUAAGCUACAAGGCCCACUCUGCCCCCAAACCUAUCCAUCUCCUGCGACCUCAGAGGAACUCUGAACUUCAGGCUGCAAUGGCACACAGUGGACCAAAAGAAAGUUUCACCCCGCAGAUUUGGAUCAAGUGAAGUGGAUCACUCUUCCCUCAUCUUGAGGAUGAGAGUUGAGUGAAGCACCCUCACUCAGGACCUGCCUGUGCUCUACUUCUCUGUCACCUACAAGCACCAUGCUCUGCUGACAGUGCUGGAGACACGGCUGUGCCCUCCCCUCCACAGCAGACUGUAUGGCUACCACCAGAAGGCUGGGCUGUGUUUUCAACUCCAUGGAAGGUGAGGAUCAUUUUUUGAACAUCAGCAUUAAACUCUGGACAAUAGGAUCCAUGAGUCCUGCAUGGAGAAGUUUGAGGAAGACGUACCAUCCAGGACUGAGUGUUUCAAAAUAUCUUAAUCUCAGCACAGUGUCCAGUUGUGUGUCUCUGUGCUAGUUUCUAUCCACUGCAAGAAGAAGUUUCUCUGAUGAUGGAUGAGCAAGGCCCUGAUCUAUGGAUAUAUUAGAAUGUAGUUAGGAGUACAUUUGUGACUAUUUCUUUAACUGACGUAUAGUAUUUGGUUUCUCCCUAGGCUCAUGCCUAUUCAAUCUCAGGUUGUUGGCCUCUAGAGUAAUGUCAGGCAUGGGAUCCAUCUUGCCAAAUGGACCUUAAAUCCAAUCAGGCAAAGGUUGGGUUUUCUUUAAUGAUUCUUGUUAAAUUCUGCUUCCAGGUUUGAAAUGUUUUCAUUAUUUCAUUCAACUGUUUGUGUAUUCAGUGAUGUCAUUAAUGGAUCGAUGAGAAGUAGCAGUGCAAACAAUUAGCACCUACAAUAUCACCGAGCCAGAGUGUGGCUGUAGCUGGACCUGGUGAGCACCAUGCCUGUUAGACACAGGGACAUCUCAGGUAGACUUUCCAUGUCAGCAGCAGAGUAUCUCAUUUUCUUGAGGACUCAAGAGAAUUUUAGUGUUCCUGGAGUAGGUGGUGAGUGCCAAGUACCAAGGCUACUUUUUAGAAUACUCAACGUGGUCUACAUGUUUAAUACAAGUCAGCAUGAAAGGAUAAAACUGGCCAUCUAAAACAUGGUUAGAAACCUGAAAUACCUGAGGAUGUAAUAUUAGAGCAUGCGUGAGUGAUAAUUUGAAAGUUCACACCAUAGGCUUCAAUAACUAUUUAGAUAACACAGGUAAGAUGAAAUGGGAUAAUUUCUUGAUUCAUGAAACAGGAACGUCCCAAGAGCCUAUUAUAGGAAAAGUGUUAAAUCAUGGGAAAUGCUAUCAUCAUUGCUUUGGCGAACUCCAGAGUGAGUCUUUAUAGACCAAUAUAAUGUUUUUCUGUGAGGUCUGGCUACCAUAGACAUUGUCUGCAUCUCCUCUGUGCUGCACAUGGUUUAAUUGGUCUAAUUUCCUAGAAAAAAAUACCACCUAUUUUCAUGGAUCACCUCUAAUUCCUUGUGUGGUUCAUAUUUUCUGAACUGUUGUUCAUGGUCAUAGCCUAUGAUCACUACUUGGACAUUUGCUUUCCUCUACGCUAUAGCUCCUGUAUGAACCAGCACAUAUGUGGGCACCUAAGAUGGUAUAUGGUCCAUCUGUGCCCUAAAUUCUUCCAUUAAUGCUGCUCUAAUGACAUGGCUAGCAUCCUGUGGAUGUAAGGACACCCACUUCUUUGUGACCUCCCAGUUCCUACUGCUCUCCUGCAAUGCCUCAAGUGUGAAAACUAUCAUGGCUCUUUCCUGCCUUCUUGCUGUCCAAUGGCUAUUAUCACCAGCAACCAACACAUGUGCUAAGCUGAGGGGAAGCAGAAGUCCUUGUCUACCUUCUCAUUCCAUCUGCCUUAGUUAAUGUUUCUAUUGCAAUGAAGAGACACCAUCACUGUGGCAAUUCUUAUACGGAAAACAUUUAAUUGGGCUUGGCUUACAGUUUAGUGGUUAUCAUCAGGGUAUGGAGCAUGGCAGGCAUGAUGCUGGCUACAUCUUGAUCAUAGGUCAACUGGAAGUUGAUUGAAACAUUGGGCAGUAUUUUGAGCCCACCCAAUAGUGACACACUUCAUCCAACCCAUUCUAACAAAACCAUACCUUCUCAUAGUAUCACUCCUAAUGAAAUUGUGGGGGCCAAUUAUGUACAAACUACCACACCACAUUACUGUACUCUCUAUUACUUAUACAAGUUCUGUGUCUGCUUCCAACUACUAUCUAGAUAGAAGUUAAUCGCCUGCAGUGAUGUAUGAGAUCCUGAGCUGAUGUGAGACACCCCUCUGUAUGAUGUGAAUAUGUUUUGUUACCAUUGGUUAAUAAAGAAACUUCUUUGGGCCUAUAGCAGAGCACAAUAUAUCCAGGCAGGAAAUCUAAUAUAGAAAGAGUAGGUGGAGUCAGGGAGAUGCCAUGUAGCUGCUGAAGGAGACAGACAACUACAAAAGGUUCUGGUAAACUCUGAGCCUUGUUGUAAAAUAUAAAAUAAUAAAAGUGGGUUAAUUCAAUAUGUAAGAGCUAGCUAGAAAUAUGCUAGAGUCAUUGGUCAAGCAGUGUUUUAAUUGAUUCUGUGUGAUUAUUCCGGGUCUGAGUGGCCCGGAACAAACAUGCAGCUUCAGCCUACACUGAGCUAAGACUGGACCCCUACACCUAUACACUGAAGAACAAGAAUGUCAAGGAUGCUCUGAAGAGACUCUUAUACCCUAUUUAAUGUUAGUUGAAAAUAUGUACAUUGCUGUUCUGACAGGGUAAGCCUGUCUUUAACUUCUCUUGCUAAAUGUCUUUGUGCUUUGUCUUGUCUUUAUGCUUUGGCUAUGGCCAUUAUAGAAAAUUGCCUUCAUACUAAAUAUCUGUAUAUGUGCUUUUUGUUCUGUGUUGGUAGUUUUGUUUAGUUGAUACUUAUCUAUGUAUGCCAAAUAAAAAUUAACCCACUCACUGCCACCCCAAGUCCUGACAGGUACUCUUCUUUUAUAUAGAAAGUCAUGUUGCCUUCCCAAAGAGACACAAGACAGCCUUGCUUCUCUGAGUUAAGUUCUUGUUUAUCAGCUACUGCAUGUAUGUGUACAUGACUAUAACAAUCUGAACAUUGGUAAAUAAAUUAUCUGUUCUCAAUAUCUUCUCCAUACUUUAUAUGUGGUCAAGCACUGUUGUUCUGCGGUUCACAUGCUACCCCUCAGUCUUCCUUUACUAGGCAAAAGUGUCAUGUCACUAUGGAAUCAUUGAGUGCAGAGCCUUGUGGCAGUACAAGGUAUAGUGGAGAUGAUUCCUUACCUUGUAGCAGCUGGGAACAGAGGAAUAAAAACUGGUUUCUCCUUUUCCCCUUGUCCCAUGCCUCCAUGCCCCACUGCCUGUCGAGGUACUGCACACAUUGAAGAUGAUGCACAGCUGUGCAAUGAGUCCUCUUUGGAAAUAGUUUGCAGAUAAUCAUGGCGGUGUCCCUCAGCAAUAUUUUUGGAGAUCACUCCAGUCAAAUUAACAAUGACUAUAUUAACCAUCACAACCAUAAACCGUUGACACGUUCCUGAUUUACCUGCUAUUUUCCUACACACUGCUUGAUUCAUCUGUUAAUCAUGUUUUUUAACCAUCUGCUCUGUAUUAGUCACAUGACUCUCUAGGAUAUAGACAAAUACCACAAUGUAUGAAAGGCUCAAGGUAUACAUGCUCACACUUCUCACUGUCAAGAAAAGUCCUCUUAAAACGUUUUAAAUGCCAUAUUCCAUAGGUCUUUGAAGUGUUUAAGAUUAUCUAUCGAACUGUAAUAUAUUUCUGCAUAUCUAGAAAACCUAACCACAUGACUAAGAGUUUGAUUAUUAUAAAUGACUCAUCUAUUAAUCUAUAUUUCUUAAUUAUAUGUUACAGUUUUAAAUAAGCUGCACAAGCACAAUUCCUUAAACAAGAGCAGAAAUACAUAUACAUAGUAUAACAAAAUCGACCUUAAAUUUGUAUCAGUAUACCAAGACCCAUACCAAUGUAAAGUAUUCAUUUCUGUAUGAUAUCCCCCUCUAAAUGAAAACAAACAUUUAUAAACAAUCAUUUUGGAAUUUAGAUGUUGUUUUCUCCAAAUUGCUUCCUGCUGUUUCUGGAGGUGAAGUAUUUUUAGGGUUCACAGAGACCUUUCAGGGGAUUUGUUCCUUCAAACCA